rnacentral:rRNA from 1 species
UACGGGGAGUGCAAGCGUUGUUCGGAAUCAUUGGGCGUAAAGCGCGCGUAGGCGGUCUAGUAAGUCUGGAGUGAAAUCCCUCGGCCUAACCGAGGACGUGCUUCGGAUACUGCAAGACUUGAAUCCCGGAGGGGCGGGUGGAAUUCCCAGUGUAGAGGUGAAAUUCGUAGAUAUUGGGAGGAACACCAGUGGCGAAGGCGGCCCGCUGGACGGAGAUUGACGCUGAGGCGCGAAAGCGUGGGGAGCAAACAGG